rnacentral:rRNA from 1 species
CCUACGGGAGGCAGCAGUGGGGGAUAUUGCACAAUGGGCGAAACCCUGAUGCAGCGACACCGCGUGAGUGAAGACGUAUUUCGGUAUGUAAAGCUCUAUCAGCAGGGAAGAAAAUGACAGUACCUGACCAAGAAGCCCCGUCUAACUACGUGCCAGCAGCCGCGGUAAGACGGAGGGGGCCAGCGUUAUCCGGAUGUACUGGGUGUAAAGGGAGCGUAGACGGUUUGGUAAGUCUGGAGUGAAAGCCCGGGGCCCAACCCCGGGACUGCAUUGGAAACUGUGUAACUGGAGUACAGGAGGGGCAGGCGGAAUUCGUGGUGUAGCGGUGAAAUGCGUAGAUAUCAGGAAGAACACCGGCGGCGAAGGCGGCCUGCUGGACUGAAACUGACGUUGAGGCUCGAAAGCGUGGGGAGCAAACAGGAUUAGAUACCCGAGUAGUC